rnacentral:rRNA from 1 species
UACGUAGGGUGCGAGCGUUGUCCGGAAUUAUUGGGCGUAAAGGGCUCGUAGGCGGUUUGUCGCGUCGGGAGUGAAAACCAGGUGCUUAACACCUGGCUUGCUUUCGAUACGGGCAGACUAGAGGGAUUCAGGGGAGAGCGGAAUUCCUGGUGUAGCGGUGAAAUGCGCAGAUAUCAGGAGGAACACCGGUGGCGAAGGCGGUUCUCUGGGAAUGACCUGACGCUGAGGAGCGAAAGUGUGGGGAGCGAACAGG